UGGUGUUCCAGACCCUUCCCAUCUCCUCAGCCUCUCCUGGUGUUCCAGACCGUUCCUGUCUCCCUCAGCCUCUCCUGGUGUUCCAGACCUUUCCUGUCUCCCUCAGCCUUUCCUGGUGUUCCAGACCCUUCCCGUCUCCCUCAGCCUCUCCUGGUGUUCCAGACCCUUCCCAGCUCCCUCAGCCUCCCCUGGUGUUCCAGACCCUUCCCAGCUCCCUCAGCCACUCCUCACAGGAUUACGAUGGUUUGAGUGGAAGGGACCUUAAAUCCCAUCUCAUCCAUGGGAAGGACACCUCCCGCUAUCCCAGGCUUGGAGCAACCUGGGAUCCAACCUGCCCUAGGACACUGCCAGGGAUGGGGCAGCCACACUGUGCAGGUGAAAAGGGAGGGCGCAUGGAGAUUUUUCUAGUUAUUCAGCCAAAAAGUUGUUUUCUGUGCAGCAAUGAAGAGUGAGGGGCUGCCCAACGUUGGUGUCACACUCAGACUCUUCUCAUCCAUCCCUUGUCCCACCCGUGUCCUGCUGCACACCCUGGGAAUGCUCAGUUUGCGGUCAAGCAAUAAUCCAACACUGUGAACAAGAGUCUUCCCAGGUGGACUCCGGGCCAAGCAAAACACACAAAUGGGCCAGAUGUCUCAAAUUUUCCAGCUAUAAACUGCAGCAGCUUUCUGCUGUAAAUCCAAGUGAAGCAUCUCCCUUGGGAUCUGGUGUUUAAACCCAUGGCAAUAACGGCUCUCUUAAAAAAUGAUGGGCUUAAACAAAGGAUAAAGUACCUCAAGGAUGCUGCGGGAGGGAAACAGAGAUGGACAACGGUGGGAGUUACUUCCACAAUUUUAUUUAUAUCCCCUCUCCCCAGUAGUGGAGUUCUGUAGCUCUAUUCCUUGUGCAAGGACUUCUCCUUCAGAUUUCCCACACCAUGCAGGAAGGAAUUGUGUUUGUUCCAUCAUAAUAAUAAAAUCUGUCCACAAAAGCUGUAAA